GGGCGAGCCACGUGUAGGAGGCUGGAGGGUCAGAAAUGCACACAGAUGCCAAAUGAGUCAGGUCCCUGUGACGCAGGGGCAUGCCGAGAAAGAGCACAGAUAAGAAUGUAGCAAACAAGGGCGAAAUUAUUGGAGCAGGUGAUCUGUGGCUGAAGAAGAAGGGACGGGGUGAACAGUGGGGAUGAGGUGGGGGACGUCACCAUGCUUACGAUGCGCAGAAACGAAGUGUGCACCGUGAUUCUGUAGGAUCAAUGCUGUAUGUUCUUUAGAGAAAGUAGCUGUACGGGUUUGAGAAGAGCGAUCAACUAAUUUAUAACGCUGAAGAAAAACCACAAAGUUUGCAAAUGAGAAACUCAAGGAUAAGUUUUUAAUUCCAUUGAUAGGUUGGACGACAUUGACGAGAGUCCUUAAAAACAAAACAAAACCAUAUCAAAAGGGAAAAAGAAUUUUGUACUGAUGACUAGGGAAAAUAUGGUACCAUAUACCAGUAAUUUGGGCGUAUAUAAAAUUUAUUAAUUGGACCGAAACUGUUAAAAUUAUAAUUAUUUUGCAUAUCUGUGCAGUUCCUAUCUAGGUUUAUAAAAUACGGCAUGGGAAUAUUGAAUAUAUUUUGGCAUCCAACUAAAAAAGAGGCUAUUACAGUUGACUGAGUGCCCCCUCCGGAUAAGGAGCGGCAUAAAGGAGCACUCCUCAUGGGCUUGACCCAAGGGUCAUCCACAGACAUGAGUGGACAAGCAGAGAGAGGCAGAGAUGUCAUCAAGACCAUUGACGGCACAGUAGUUCAUCCUGGGCAGAGGACGGGACUCUGCUCUUCGCUGGGGUUGCCCACGGAGCCCUGUGCAACAGACUUGCUUGAAGGUGGAGGGAGGAAAUCCACUCCAAAAAAUAUCCCCGCAAUCUCCCACCAGGUCAUAUUGGCCAUGAUGGGGUCUCAUGCUCAGCUCUACCUGCAAGAAAGAAUGAGAAUAUAAUAGCUGGCAUUUUCAGACCCAUACUUAGCCAGAAUGGAGGAGGGGACAUGGCUGGAGGAGUGGGGAGAAUGGCAUCUGACUACUUUGAAAACAACCAACACUGUUCACCCGUCUCCCAGGAACAAAGACUUAAAUCAACUGCAAAGAAUCAUUGGCCCUUCCGUGUCUGCCAUGGAACACCCAUGUUCCAGAUUAAGAAUAUCAGAGAGUUUUGACUAACAUUGUUGACAUUAAUUGUUUGUUUCUUACCUUUUCUUCUUCUGUCUAGACACUGCAUGUCACACCAUGACCCAAUCUUGCUUUUCUCUACUUCCACUUGAUGUUUCAACUGCUUUCUCUGGUGCUUGACUCUCAACACUUUCUCAUAGACUUUCAGCUUGUACUUAACACAGCUGGCUUUACCCACUCUGGAUUAUGUUACUAGGUGAUUCGGUUUGCUGGGGACCACACGGGCAGCAGUGGUUGCCCAACAAACGCAGAUGAGUCAGGAUGCCUUCCCAUUCCCACCAUAUCUGUGUGGAGCAGGCACUUUGUACUGCAGGACACCGGUCCUCACUGUUGGGAAACACUGGGAAUGACCCCCUCCUAUUACCAGCUGUGAUGGGAAUUAGGAAGAUAAUAUUUAGGGACAGAAGGAUUCUAAAUAUUAGAAGACAAGAAAACUAACGAUAACAGAAAAGCAGCCCAUCGCUCUUUUCCUACCCCUUCCCUCAAACAAAAAGAUCCUACACAUUAUAUGAUCCCAUUUAUAUAAAACGCACAGAAUGGGCAAAUCUGUAGAGACAGAAAGUAGAUUAGUGGCAGCCAGGGGCUGGGAGAGGUGGAGGGGAAGUGCAAAGUGACUGCUAAUGGGUAUAGAUUUUUGGAGGAGGUGAUUAAAAAGUUCUAAAAUUGAUUGUGGCCAUGGUUGCAUAACUGUGAAUGUACUAAAACCCAUUGAACGGUACACUUUAAAUGGGCUAACUGCAUAGUAUGUGAAUUAUAUCUCAAUAAAGCUUUUUUUUUUUAAAAAAAUAAUUCA
rnacentral:lncRNA from 1 species